CUACGGGCCGCAGCAGUCGAGAAUCAUUCGCAAUGCGCGAAAGCGUGACGAUGCGACGCUGCGUGGAGGAUGAAGGCCCUAGGGUCGUAAACUCCUGUCAGGAGGGAAAAGCCGGCACUUGGUCAAUACCCUUGUGCCCCGAUGGUACCUCCAGAGGAAGCCACGGCUAACUCUGUGCCAGCAGCCGCGGUAAUACAGAGGUGGCGAGCGUUGUUCGGAUUUACUGGGCGUAAAGGGUGCGUAGGCGGCGUGCAAAGCUGGAUGUGAAAUCCCGGGGCUCAACCCCGGAACUGCAUCCGGAACUGGCACGCUAGAGACCAGGAGGGGAGAGCAGAAUUCUAGGUGUAGCGGUGAAAUGCGUUGAUAUCUAGAAGAAUACCGGUGGCGAAGGCGGCUCUCUGGAAUGGUUCUGACGCUGAGGCACGAAAGCGUGGGGAGCAAACAGGAUUAGAUACCCGAGUAGUC
rnacentral:rRNA from 1 species